rnacentral:rRNA from 1 species
CAGCACUAAAGCACCGGAGCCCAUCGGAACUCCGAAGUUAAGUGUGCUUGGGAGAGAGUAGUAAUAGGAUAGGUGACCUCCUGGGAAGUCCUCCUGUCGUCGUUG